CCCAGAUAGUUACUGCAGUACACACCUGGGAUUUUCCUCUUUCUUUCUGCAAUUUUCCUUUGGAGGAUGAAAAUGACUGGUCAUUCCACAGUUGAGGAAGAUUUUCUCUGGCUAACACUCUCACCACCCAUCCUGAGGAAAGAGUAUAAAUAAUCGUGGAUUCCAAAGUCCUGAAUAAACUCUGGAGGAAAAAGCUUAAGAAAAAUGAGGGGGAAAGGCUGCAAGGAUAUGCCCAAUGAAUAAGGCACUGUGCUACUGAGAGACUAUGAUGUCUCUGCAUCGCUAGAACAUUUUUGUUGCUUGCUGUAAAGCUAAAGAAGACACUAAAGAAUGA
rnacentral:lncRNA from 1 species